UACGUAGGGUGCAGGCGUUACUCGGAAUUACUGGGCGUAAAGCGUGCGCAGGCGGUUUGCUAAGAGAGAUGUGAAAUCCCCGGGCUUAACCUGGGAACUGCGUUUCUAACUGGCAGGCUUGAGUGUGGCAGAGGGGGGUGGAAUUCCACGUGUAGCAGUGAAAUGCGUAGAGAUGUGGAGGAACACCGAUGGCGAAGGCAGCCCCCUGGGCUAACACUGACGCUCAUGCACGAAAGCGUGGGGAGCAAACAGG
rnacentral:rRNA from 1 species